GGCAAUCUGAGGAUUCGGAAGUAGAAAAUGAAAUCCUUGGAAUCCGGCUUCUUCUCCUCCUCGUCGAGAUGAGAAUAUGCAUUCCAAGGCUGGAACAUAAAUGUGAUAUUCAACAACCAACUUGAGUCUCAAAGUAGUGGUGGUAGCACAAGCCUUAGUCGUCGUCGUACAGCCAUUGGAGAGUCAAUAUAUUCAGAUUAGACGCGAACCUUAAGCCACUUUUCGGGGUGAAACCUCACAAUUCCCAGAAAGUACCACUGUUACGACGAUCUACCUGCUCGUCUCAUGUCAACCAUGUCCGUUAUACAACGUGGACAUUACUCUUGCGUCACCGCAUCUUGUAUAACAAUGGCUGCGGCAGACCACUACUGCUUCAAUAAUCCGAUCCGAACAUGAUUGCGGUACAUUUACCUCGUUGGUGUUAUGUUUUGCAAUCAAUACACCAACCAAGGUGACCAGGUUCGUAGGCAAUUUCAUAUUAAAAAAUCAUUAUUCAUAUUAAAUUGGUACUAAAUUCAGAAAAGAAUUGGCCAUAGAUGCACGUAUCAAAUUUAACUAUUUUAUGCAAAGUAGACAGUGGCAGUUUUCAAGAGCCAAAAAAUGCAUUCACUAUUGAUUUCACCUCCCUGAACCAUCAUUCAACUCAUUUCCCUACCCCAUCGUGCAGUGUUUGCUGAUUGAAUUGAUGUCAAACGACGAUUUAAAAUGCAGCGUUUCAACUUGACGUGGAUCGAGAGGAGGAAGAGCAGUGAAAACGCAGUUGAAAAAAUGAAAGUAAGUACGUCGUCGUCGUCGUCGGUUGAAAUUUGAUAUGAUGCAGCCCCGCAUAAUUUGGGUCGAUGGGAUGGGAUGAUGAUAACUGCAUUUACGCAUAUACUUCCUCUUGGCACCCGCCGAAAGCAGGUACAAUAGACAGGCAGGUCUCACACUUAGCAACACCACAGGACAUCAAAAAUCCAAUAACGAGUUCACACUUUCCAACCAAACCAACUUGCUUCACACCCCAAAAAAUCAACAUUCAGCAACUCAACAUCACACACACACAUGCCGUGUUUGUGUGCUUUCCUUCCGCCACAACCAUCGCCAACCAAGCAGCAGCCACACACACCACACGCCUUGCACUUGGUCGAAAUCCAUUUCUGAACCUGCUUUAAAAUCUAUUUCCAUCUUAAUCCAUCAUCCGUCCGCGGCUUACGUGACGACAUAAGGGUUAAAGUCCGUGCAAGACGACUCCUUUCCCACUUGCUUUCUACUUUAACCCACUCGCAGCUAUUGAGACUCGCAAAUUCGAGAAAAUCAACCCUUCAACUUACACUUAAGGGAAACAUAUGCGUGCGUCUGACUAAAAUGCACUGCUUUUAUGACCACCUCGUUGUAAUUCUUUCCCUCUCCGCAAAGAGUCAAGAGAUAAAUUCUUACUAGCAAUUGAGAGAUAUACAACAUGUGUGUAUGACCAAAAGCAAGAAGGUUUACUACGUGGGCACUGAAUAAUGAUCUCAAGAUCAAUCAAAUGUCCACGGUUCACUGGACAGAAAAUAAUUUUCCCAAUGCACAUUCCACCAUCUGUACACCCGACCAGGAAGUUAAUGUAAGAAUCAUGUAGCUCUAAAUGGCCAGUGAUUCCGUUUCUCUCUUUCUCUCUCACUCGCCUUCACUCGAGGUAUUUAAAAAGUCACUGCUCCUCAAGAUUUGCACUUGUCACCAAAACAAGGUUUACUACUUUAGCAAAGCUGUUAGUCCAAGCGGUAGCGGUGGCCGGUUCAGGCCAUCCAAAAAUUGUUGACCACUACUUAUUACGUAAUACCGGCGUCAUAAAUAAUUAUAAAAUGAAUGAGUGAAUGGAAGGUCAGGUGAAGUAAAAUAAUUUUGUUGCAGGCCGUUGCAAAUCAGUUUCUCAUUUACUAAAAUAUUCAUGUGUGAGGAAGAGGAAAUGAAAAGGAGUUGCCAACCGACGACCAAACAGCCCCUGAAGGCUCGACUCUACCACCAACCCUCUGCCUGGAAGUUGGUCAAUCAGCGGGAGGAAACAUCAUCAGGCUGUGACUUCAUUAGCUCGCAGCCAAGAUUUCGAUGGGCCACCCUCCUCCUCAACCCCAUUGUUCAUGCUGCACUCACUCCAACCAAACUGCCACUUAUCCUCCUCACGCCGAAUUUUAAAAUUGCUCCUCAGCUUGCUUGCGUACUACUCAGCCCCUCACAAGCAUAAGUCUGCUAUUAGAGACAAAGAGAUUGCAAUCAGCAUUUCAAUUCAUGAAGAAGGAGUCGAGUUGGAGGAGAAAGUACGGCAUGAAAUUAUGGCAUGUUGCACAUUUGACUCGCAUUAUUAA